GAUAUAGACAUCUAUAGGAAUUGUAAGUCUUUCCUGAUGGUGGAAGAGAAAUACUUGUUUUGGUCUGUGAUCAAAUUCUAUACACCAACCUCCUUAGAAGGAGCCAGCAGAUUCUAGAGCAACUCUGAGGACCCAUUUCUGCAGGGCUCUCUGGGAAUCUCUAUAGUAAUGGAUAAACAAUGGAGGCAGUCUGAGGGUGAUCAAAAGGAACCGGUCCAAAGUGGUAUGGUGUAAAUGUGGGGUCAUUUUUAAAGAACAAUGGCCCAGAUAUUGACUAUCACAACACUGUUGAUUAACUAAACUUUGAUAUCCUCAAGCCCAUGAGGAAAGUUCUUUGAUUAGGAUAAUCUCAGAGGGAUAGAGGAGAACAGAGAGAAGUAGUUAGGCUUUCAUUAGUCUGCCUCUACCACAUCUCUGUUGUUGUUUUUUUUAAUACCCCCAAUAUUAUUCAAAUAGGUAGCUAUCCCUACUCAAUCCCCAAUGGGAUUCCAUAUUAGUGUAUUAAACAAUGCAAUAAACAGAUGGCUGAGUAGACUAUUGGAGAACUGAAGUCAAGUUCCAGAGAGUUUGCCCCCAUAUCAGUAGACAUCUAAUGAACAUGAAACUUCAUGAACAGACACAUGGAUUCAGAGAUACUCCAACACUUACAUGUUAACUAAUCUGGAAAAAAACUAAUGACACCUUGUGGGAUCACCAUUGUGGGUUCUUGGCCAGCAGUACUAUGGGAACUGUUUCAAUCAGUACUGCUAGAUUUCCUCUAGAAGUGUGCCUCUAGAAGCUUGCUUCUGAUAGUCUGCACAAGAUACUGAUGGUAGGAGGUGAGGGAAUUUUCCUCAUUGUGCUUUAGUUAACUGGGGACCUUCUAGCAGCUGGAGACCUUCUAAAAACCAUGUAUCCUACUCAUUUACAGGGACUAUGUAAUCUCAUUAGAUAGUACAUUUUAUUUCAAGGGUCAUUUGGUGUCUUGUUUGGUUCUAGUUCUAUGCAAAAAACAAGUACAUAUCUAAAAAUAUAUUAACUAUAUUUUAGCAAACAAGAGUAUCUAGGAGAUUAUCAUAGAUGCAUAUGAUGUUCUUCUAUGGGAGGCUUAUCUAUUUGUAUCAGGACUAUUAUUUCUACAAGAACCUUUCCAAAUACCUUAGACUAUGAGAUUGACUAGUGAAGGGCAUCCCCAAUCCACCUGUCCUGGACAUAGUGGAAGAAGAGAUGGGGCACAGUUCUGCUCCAGGUGUCACAAGAGCAGGGUCUGGCCCAGAUGUUGUAAGCAACACAACACACAAGGUUCAAGUACCCCGGGUCUAGCAAAGUUCUGGGUACUCUUUUGGUUGACUAGCUCAGGGAGCAUGAGUAAGAAUUCUUGGAAGAUGAUGUUUCUCCUUCAUCCCUUCAGACCUGCCAGGAAGAUGGGAUGAUGCAAGUCAGCUGGAGUUGGGGGCAAGGAGAGACAUCUGGGGCUAAGGUGUUCCUACCUGGAAGGACCCUGUGGCACAGAAAGUGAAAAGGGGAAUGAAUACUUUGGAUUUGGCUCUGGCUCUGAAUCCAGAAGACAGAGUGGGACCUAAGCCUGCAUUGCGAAGCCCUCAGUACAGCACAUGAGCUGAUUUCCUUUGGCCUGACUGCUUGGCUUUGAAGUCUCAGGUCUCAGACUCUACAUCAAUAAGGAGCUGGAGAGAGGGUGAGGUCCUCUCCCCAACCCCAGCUCAGCUUGAGUAUGGACACUAUAAUCACCUUUUAGCAAAGACUGCCCUGAACAGAGGUCACCAUCUUUGAGAGUGACCUCCUGGAGAAGCCAAUCAUUGCUCCGCAUUGCAUCCCUUCUACUCAUCCUGGUAAGCCCUGGCAUCUAAAUUUUCUGUUUGUGCUCCCUGCUCUUGUUU